rnacentral:rRNA from 1 species
AUGUUUGCUAUGUUUGCAUCUUGUUUACAUAUCCCUAAUGACAGCCUCCCUAAGUUUGUUUCAUUUAAAAUGGUUUGCCUCACUAAUUAUUCAGUGGUUCUUGAUUUUACAGUCAUGUAUCGACCACCAUUGGGUAAGCUCAUCAAGGUUUAUCUUGGUUGCAGUUUGCAUAAGCUAGGUUUGGAUUACACUGACCUUUGCCAGAUAUAUUUGCUUGAUAGGUCGAUUGCAUUAUAUGCUAGAGGGUGCAAUGACUUGUUUUUUAAUGCUUGUAUCAUGUGCACCCUAGAGCCGUAA